rnacentral:rRNA from 1 species
AUUGAACGCUAGCGGGAUGCCUUACACAUGCAAGUCGAACGAGUGGCGGACGGGUGAGUAAUAUAUCGGAAUGUGUCCAGUAGCGGGGGAUAACUACUCGAAAGUGUGGCUAAUACCGUAAUAUACUGGAUCGGCCGAUAUCGGUAUAGCUUGUUGGUGGGGCAAAGGCCCACCAAGGCAACGACCCGUAGCUGGUUUGAGAGGACGACCAGCCACACUGGGACGUAGACACGGCCCAGACUCCUACGGGAGGCAGCAGUGGGGAAUUUUGGACAAUGGGGGAAAGCCUGAUCCAGCCAUCCCGCGUGUAUGAGAAGGCCUGCGGGUUGUAAAGUACUUUUGGCAGAGAAGCGGUAUCUGCAGAAUAAGCACCGGCUAACUACGUGCCAGCAGCCGCGGUAAUAC